GAUUAAGCUAAUAAGAGCACAAGGUGGAUGCCUUGGCAUCAGGCGCCGAAGAAGGACGUGACAAGCUGCGAAAAGCUGCGGGGAGCUGCAAAUAAGCCUAGAUCCGCAGAUGUCCGAAUGUGGGAACACACUCCGAGAGGAGUACGCGAAAGCGGGGGAACCCAGGGAACUGAAACAUCUUAGUACCUGGAGGAAGAGAAAGUAAAACAACGAUUACCUAAGUAGUGGCGAGCGAACGGGUAAGAGCCCAAACCGACUAUAGAAAUAUAAUCGGGGUAGAGGACAGCGAUAACCCAGUCAAGAAGUAGUUGAACGGUAUUGGAAAAGCCGACGAAACGAGGUGAAAGUCCUGUAGACGAAACGGGAAUGACGGGGAGCUGAAUCCGGAGUACCAUCGAGCACGAGAAAUUCGGUGGGAAGCAGGGAGGCCCAUCUCCCAAGGCUAAAUACGACCUGAUGACCGAUAGAGUAUAGUACCGUGAGGGAAAGGUGAAAAGAACCCCGGAAGGGGAGUGAAAAAGAACCUGAAACCGUGUGCUUACAAGCAGAGGGAGCGCAAGUGACCUCGUACUUUUUGUAGAACGGGCCGGCGAGUUACGUUGCGUUGCGAGGUUAAGGUACUAAGUACCGGAGCCGAAGCGAAAGCGAGUCUUAAUAGGGCGAGAAGUAGUGUGACGUAGACCCGAAACCUAAUGACCUACCCAUGAGCAGGAUGAAGCAGAAGUAAAAUUCUGUGGAGGUCCGAACGCACGCCUGUUGAAAUAGGCGGCGAUGACUUGUGGUUAGCGGAGAAAUUCCAAACGAAUUAGGAUAUAGCUGGUUCUCCUCGAAAUAGCUUUAGGGCUAGCCUCAACGUAGAGAGUAUCGGGGGUAGAGCACUGAAUGGGCUAGGGGCCUUCACGGGUUACCGAACCUUAUCAAACUGCGAAUACCGAAUACUUAUAGU
rnacentral:ncRNA from 1 species